rnacentral:rRNA from 1 species
GACGAACGCUGGCGGCGUGCUUAACACAUGCAAGUCGAACGGAAAGGCCCUGCUUUUGUGGGGUGCUCGAGUGGCGAACGGGUGAGUAACACGUGAGUAACCUGCCCUUGACUUUGGUAUAACUUCAGGAAACUGGGGCUAAUACCGGAUAGGAGCUCCUGCUGCAUGGUGGGGGUUGGAAAGUUUCGGCGGUUGGGGCUGGACUCGCGGCUCAUCAGCUUGUUGGUGUGGUAGUGGCUUACAAAGGUUUUGACGGGUAGCCGGACUGAGAGGGUGACCGGCCACAUUGGGACUGAGGUGCGGCCCAGACGCAUACGGGAGGCAGCAGUGGGGAAUAGUGCACGAUGGGCGGAAGCCUGAUGCAGCAACGCCGCGUGCGGGAUGACGGCCUUCGGGUUGUAAACCGCUUUCGCCUGUGACGAAGCGUGAGUGACGGUAAUGGGUAAAGAAGCACCGGCUAACUACGUG